UACGUAGGGAGCGAGCGUUGUCCGGAUUCAUUGGGCGUACAGAGCUCGUAGGCGGCUUGGCAAGUCGGGUGUGAAAACUCCAGGCUCAACCUGGAGACGCCACCCGAUACUGCCAUGGCUAGAGUCCGGUAGGGGACCACGGAAUUCCUGGUGUAGCGGUGAAAUGCGCAGAUAUCAGGAGGAACACCGGUGGCGAAGGCGGCUUGCUGGGCCAGUUCUGACGCUGAGGAGCGAAAGCGUGGGGAGCGAACAGG
rnacentral:rRNA from 1 species